AGAGUUUGAUCCUGGCUCAGAUUGAACGCUGGCGGCAUGCCUUACACAUGCAAGUCGAACGGUAACAGGUCUUCGGAUGCUGACGAGUGGCGAACGGGUGAGUAAUGCAUCGGAACGUGCCCAGUCGUGGGGGAUAACUGCUCGAAAGAGCAGCUAAUACCGCAUACGACCUGAGGGUGAAAGCGGGGGUCCGUAAGGCCUCGCGCGAUUGGAGCGGCCGAUGUCAGAUUAGCUAGUUGGUGGGGUAAAGGCCUACCAAGGCAACGAUCUGUAGUUGGUCUGAGAGGACGACCAGCCACACUGGGACUGAGACACGGCCCAGACUCCUACGGGAGGCAGCAGUGGGGAAUUUUGGACAAUGGGCGCAAGCCUGAUCCAGCAAUGCCGCGUGCAGGAAGAAGGCCUUCGGGUUGUAAACUGCUUUUGUCAGGGAAGAAAUCUUUUGGGCUAAUACCCCGGGAGGAUGACGGUACCUGAAGAAUAAGCACCGGCUAACUACGUGCCAGCAGCCGCGGUAAUACGUAGGGUGCGAGCGUUAAUCGGAAUUACUGGGCGUAAAGCGUGCGCAGGCGGUUAUGUAAGACAGAUGUGAAAUCCCCGGGCUCAACCUGGGAACUGCAUUUGUGACUGCAUGACUGGAGUGCGGCAGAGGGGGAUGGAAUUCCGCGUGUAGCAGUGAAAUGCGUGGAUAUGCGGAGGAACACCGAUGGCGAAGGCAAUCCCCUGGGCCUGCACUGACGCUCAUGCACGAAAGCGUGGGGAGC
rnacentral:rRNA from 1 species